UUUUAGGGUUCUUGGAGCGAUUCGAGUUCCCGUUAUCCAUCUCUCCGGUCUUCCGUCGUCGUGAGUUGGCAUUGUGAGAUCUUGUCCCGACUAGGUUUUGUGGUGGCUUGCUACUGCGGAUCUGGUCGUUCGUGCUUGUUCGGUUAUGGUGGUGGUUAUUCAGGGUCUCUUCGCAUCUUAGAGAUUCCAGUACAUAUGCGGCGUAACCAGGAGUUCUCCAGUCUCUGGUGGCUUAAGAGGCAAGGUUUGAAAGCAGAUGUGAUUGUGGUGAAAGUAUCUGGUUUGAUUUCCUCGUGUGUGUGCAUCUGGUUUCAAAUUGAGUGGUCGUCUAUGGGUAUUAGAA
rnacentral:lncRNA from 1 species